rnacentral:rRNA from 1 species
GACGAACGCUGGCGGCGUGCUUAACACAUGCAAGUCGAACGGAAAGGCCCUGCUUGCAGGGUACUCGAGUGGCGAACGGGUGAGUAACACGUGGGUGAUCUGCCCUGCACUUCGGGAUAAGCCUGGGAAACUGGGUCUAAUACCGGAUAGGAGCCAUUUUUAGUGUGAUGGUUGGAAAGUUUUGUCGGUGUAGGAUGAGCUCGCGGCCUAUCAGCUUGUUGGUGGGGUAAUGGCCUACCAAGGCGGCUACGGGUAGCCGGCCUGAGAGGGUGGACGGCCACAUUGGGACUGAGAUACGGCACAGACUCCGACGGGAGGCAGCAGUGGGGAAUAUUGCACAAUGGGCGCAAGCCGGAUGCAGCGACGCCGCGUGGGGGAUGACGGCCUUCGGGUUGUAAACCCCUUUCGCUAGGGACGAAGCUUUUUGUGACGGUACCUAGAUAAGAAGCACCGGCUAACUACGUG